UACGUAGGUGGCAAGCGUUAUCCGGAUUUACUGGGUGUAAAGGGCGUGUAGGCGGUUCUGCAAGUCGGGUGUGAAAUUUCCGGGCUUAACCCGGACGGGUCACCCGAAACUGCGGAACUUGAGUACUGGAGAGGAUAGUGGAAUUCCUAGUGUAGCGGUAAAAUGCGUAGAUAUUAGGAGGAACACCAGUGGCGAAGGCGGCUAUCUGGACAGUAACUGACGCUGAGGCGCGAAAGCGUGGGGAGCAAACAGGAUUAGAUACCCCGGUAGUCCCUGAGCGGGCUGGCAA
rnacentral:rRNA from 1 species